GGGAAUAUCAAUGGCCAAUCUGUUUUCGAUGAAGACAACUACAACCAGCUGAUUGCUAAUGGAGAACAAUUGGCCAGAUGCGGGGACGGCAAUAGACCAACAACAGUGACAAUCGAAGGAAGCCAAACGACUAUUAACGCACAUCUGCCUACCACUGCAGCAAGCGAAAGAAGAGAGACGACUACCAGCGGAAACAUACCAACAACUUCUGCUCCAGUUAGAGCUCAAACUACUACAAGACGGCAAAGGAACGGAACAAAAGGCUAUUACGUAAUACGGAAUGAGGCAAGAGGUUUACUGUUGAUGGUUUUUGUCGCAGGGAGAGCACUCGUCGGGAAAUGCUUGACGAGAUGAGUCACCAGAAGAAUUUAAAUCAAAAUCUAUUAAUGAUUAACAA